rnacentral:sRNA from 1 species
AAAAGCAGGGACGUCCAGAAAGCAACCAAUUAAUCAAACCUACGUACGCAGUUCACCCUCACCUGUAGAAUGUUGUCCAUUUUGGACUGAACAGUAGGUACAUGUACAUACAUAUAAUUUCUCCAAAAAUAGAGACAACCCCUGUAAUUUCAUAUGUUCUUGGGGUACCAAGGUGGCUGCCAAGUUGGUUGCCAAGUAAAAGAGUACAGUACAUGACGUGUGGCAUGGGUGGAUGUUCAAAAACACAUGUAUCAUACAGCCCUGACAGAAGAGCGUUUUUGAUGUAUCUGUUGAUGUAUUUAUUCCUUGUUAAUUUUAA